GUUAAUCUCCAUACGCAAAGACUCUUUCUUAGCUACGGCUCGAAGAUAUUGAGUACUUUUGGCCUUUAGUUCAGCAUUCUUGGCCAACAAAGAAAGGACCUCGGAGUGGAUAAUCUUCAACGUCGCUUUAAAAUCGGCAGAAAGAUUGAGCGACGGAAGCGUCAGUGCUUGCUCCAACUUCGCACUCAAGUGCUCAAGUUUAUCCUUGUGUCUGGCAGCACUAGCCCUUCCAAUAUCCGUAUCCAUGAAGGAUACGUACUCAAAUAUCGACUCCUUGAAGAACUUCAAAUCUUCUUCUGAAGAAGCAGUAGGACGAUCA
rnacentral:lncRNA from 1 species